GCGGGGGAAAAGACCGUUCCUGGUUUGUUUGUGUUGUUAAUAAGAGUGGCGGCCAGUUUGAACUCAGAAUGAGCAGCGAGUUUUCCGGCAGCGAUUUAGACAUAAAGGUUGAAAUAUUGAAGAGGAAGUAUUUAGAGAGGAGAAAUCGGGUUUCUGCGACUGAAGGAGCCGAAGUGAGUGAGAAAUGUGGAGGAGCUGUGGAAAAACCUACAAAGUGCUGUGCGGUCAGGGGCAGGGAGGAAGUGACAUCACGCAGAGAGCUGAAGAGCUACAGCCGAGCGCUGGAGGAGCUUUUCCAGGCCGUGUCAGAUCCACCUGCAGGGCUCGAGCGUGACGAGAGCGUUCUGAGCAGUGAAGAUGAGCUCAGUGACCAGACGGACAUCCUGGACCGUACCAACAUCCUGUGUACAGAGACGGACGUGACGCUGCCCUCCAGCGUAGCCUGCACUUCCAGCUCACUUGAGACAGAGCCGGCGAGGUUCAGCGGAGGAGAGGGUCUGAGGAGCCAGGUGCCUGUUGAACAAGUGUACCAGGAGAUGAUUGAGAUUUAUGAAAGACUGCAGGUACGGGCGGCUGAGCUGUGUGAGCGUGAAUGUGAGCUCCAGCGGAGAGAGAAGCUUCUCCUAAAGCAUCAGAGCACCGUAAACAGACUUCUCACUGUGGAGGAAGACGUACUAGAUCGCAUGAAUGCCAUGCAACAGGAACACCAGCAGGAGAUGGAGAAUCUCAGGGCUGCACUGAGAGAAAAGACCAAAGAGAACAAAAGGAUUAAAUCUAGUUUUGAUUCCAUAAAGGAGUUAAAUGACACCAUGAAGAAACAGCUGAGUGAAGUAAGUGAGCAGAACACCAGGCUGGAGAGCCAGUCACGGAAAGUUCAAGCUCGACUAGAAAACCUGCAGAGAAAGCACGAGCACUCGGUGUCGCAACGAGUGCGGGAAAACGUUGUGCUGAAGUCACGUGAUCUCAAACCAUCCAAUCAGGACAAACCCCCACCUCCCAACAAAGCUAGCAAGAGCUCGUCCAGUUCUUCAGUACUGAAGCUGCUCUGGUAUUUGAUGGACUGGAUGGUGGACGGUCCGCCUUUUUCCUCCGAAGACAUGAAAACGGAGCGCGAGUUUGACCCGUUUGAGGUUCCACGUCCCUCUCUACAUGAACGCUGCGCCAAGGUCCUUCCUGUUUUGCUGGAGCAGUUCCAGCAGGCCGAGGCGUUUCUUCACUCACCGCUCCUGCGCUUCAUCUACUGCGCCCUCACACAGCUGGAGCACAGCACACAGCACCUCCCUUUGACCUCAACGUUGAGGAGGUUAGGAGAGGAAGUGAACCGAAAAUCUCCUCCACUGUUCAGGAGCUCCUGCCCUCACACUCGCUUCUUAUCCUCCAUCAUUGUCCUCAAAACACUUAGCCAGGCGGACAUCUUGGCGCAGGCCCUCGAUGUUUUGAACGGCAUUGUUGGAGAGGAUGAGGGGCGUGGCCUCUUCCUGAAGUACAAGGCCCUGACGGCCAUUUUAGCCGUGCUGAGGACAGGAAGUCCGGGACUGCUGGCUCCUUCACUGGACGUCCUGCUUCACAUGAGCACAGAGUCACGUCAUCUUCCUGCCUUCCUGGAAGCGUGUAGCACCGAUCAGUUCUUCCGUUGUGCUGCCGUACUUCUCCGAAACCCGCGGCUGGACCUCACUGUCGCAGAGAAGCUCAGCGUUCUCCUCCAGAAACUCUCCUGCAUCAGAAAGAACCGGCGUCUGUUCGAAGCGUCCUCACUGCACCUGCUGCUCCAGGAAGCGCAGUGCUCGGCAGAUCCGUCUCGAGCCUUCCUCAACAUCAACUUCAGCUCCAUCCUGUUUAAUUUGGGCGUGGCCUCCCGUUCCUGACACGCCCACAACCUAUACAGGAGAGACAAAAAAAUCAUACACACAAUCAUAAACGUCGUGGCGUUUCUCAGCAUCGAGUCACGAAAAACACUACUGAAUGUCCUGCUUCAUUUAUACACACGCUGGAUUUAAGUGAUGGACUGAACACUCACAGACACACACACCCACACACUCACAGACACACACCCACACACUCACAGACACACACACACACACACACACACACACACACACACACACACACACACACACACUGGAGCAGCUCGUCUGUGUUUAUUUCUGUGUUCUGAUGAACAUGGUCCCCGUGUCCUCAGCCGCCUCUCUCAGACCCGUUCUUCUCCGCGUGUUGGUACUAAUCCCGGGGUUUGGUUCUUCUUGCGUUGAUCUUCAGCGACGUUUCAUUGGCCGAGGCAGAAGAGAACGCGGCGUAGGUUUGUACACUUGGCCCGCGUUUGUAAACCUGUGGUUUUCAGAGAGCUCCCUCACGUCUCGUGCGUUUUUAACCGAAUUAAAUCGUUUGCGACGGAAUCAAACUUUUUUUCUGGAGAUUAAAACAUUUAAGUCAACAAUCCUCUCAUUACUUCUCAAAUAAUGUUUUUUUAAGGAGCUGUAAACCGAGCGCAGCUGCUGCUCGUGUCGUUCAGACGGUUUGAUGGAGUUUACGGAGACUCGAGGGAAGUUGUUUUCCUGUGAAGUCAUGCGUUCAUCGAUCACUUUCUGGGUUUGGUUUUUAUUCACGCAAGCUUAACCCCUCACGAUGGAUGGAAAAUGGAGCGGUGUACACACACGGAAGAGACAAUGUGCUACUGUAGUGUAAGACACGCCCACGGGGACAGGGCCUACAGUAUCAGUUCAAGAGAACGUUUAAUCGCAUGAAAACGAGACGAGUACAGGAUGAAUCGUCAAGAAAAUGAUAAGAAUUCUGAAAGUGAAAUCAAACCUGGUGUUUGUGAGCUUUCUGUUCCUGUCUGUUAGUGUUAAAACACCGUGUUGGAGAUCUUCUCAUUUCUAUAUAUAUGUAUAGUUCUCACUUUACCUGACAGGUUUGUGCUGUUAUUAGGGGGGAUUCUGCAGGUCAGGCACGUGGUCCAUCAUGGAGAAGUUCAUCACACAGAUUUGGUUCCCUGCUCCCGUGUUAAUGUUUGGACACAAGUCUCUCCAGCAAACCAGCUGAUCUUCGCGGAGUUAUCUCCAUUACAUAACUUGGCGAUGAGCUCACGAUGUGGAUCAGGAACAAGACAAAACCCGAUAUUGUGCUGAUGUAAACCGUCGGCUGAUACGUAAACACGAGAUAUAAUUCCUCCAGAACAUCCAAACUAACUAACACAUCUGGGAGGGGUUAGUGCUCUACGUACUUAUGUUAGUUAAGCAGAAUUCUUUGUAUGAAUUUUUGGUAGAAUGACCUUUGGCUGCAAUUACAUCUGCAAGUCUUCUGGGAUAUGUCUCUGUCAGCUUUGCACAUCUGGAUCCUGAUAUUUUUGCCUAUUCUUCUUGGCAAGAUUGCUAAAGAUCUGUCAGAUUGGACGGAGACCAGUGGGAAAACGGUUAUUUUCAAUUCACGGAUUCUCAAGGGCCGUGCAUGUCACCCUCAACCCUGAACGUUUUCCCAGUCCCUGCUAACAAGAAGCAUCCCCACAACAUAACGCUACCACCACCAUGCUUCACAGUAAACAGGGUAUUCUCAGAGCGAUGGGCGGUGGUUAAGCUGUAUUCCUUUCAGUUUUUAAUAAACACUCCAGUGGUGCUCCAUGAGAUGCUUAUGGAUAUAUAUCUUUAAUCCCCAAACCCUGAUGAAGACUUUUCCAGAACGUCGUCCUGCUCUCAGUUUGUUAGCUGUUAAUUCCAAGUGCACUUUCUUCCACAGUUACUUGUUAAAGGGAAAAUUAUUCAUAAUGCUUAAGUUUUCGUUUUCAUUAUUCAGGAAGUGGACUGUGCCGGAGGACCUGACUUUACAAUGUGAAAGGAAGUUCUCGUUACGCUUUUUCGAAACAACUGGCCAGAUAAAUAAACAGAAGAGGAUUUGAUGAUUCGAUUUUGCUGAUGUGAACAUCAUGUGAGGGUUCCAAGACGAGCAGUUAGUGGUGGGGGGACGGGGUGGUUAACUGGCGUACACACUCACACUCUCUCUCUCACUCACACUCUCUCUCUCACUCACACUCUCUCUCACACACACACACACACACACACACACACACACACACACACACACACACACACACACACACACACACACACUCUGAACUCAUAGCUGAAGCAUCCAACUCAUAAGCCGAUCUGUCUGUUCUUGAGGGUAAAAUUAUUCCAAUUGGCUUUUCACGACGGUUGAUUUGUGUGUGUGUGCGGAUUUAUUUAUAAUAAUGCUUUUGUUAUUGUUAUCAAUGUUUUAAUAAAUCAGUAAUACUUUGGAAACAGAUUAAAGGUUAUAUUUCAAAGUCUGUUUCACUGUUUUCAAAAAAUCCAGCAUUAAGUGCCUCUUGAAAUACAACUGUGUUUGAUGUUGAGAUUAGAGAGUUUACUGUGCGUGUCUCUAAUACUCGUUCCAUAUUUCCGUAAUUCACAUAUACUGUGUAUACAAACUGUGUAUCCCUGAACACUCCGCUACAUGUCCAUGUGGGGUUCCUCCAGGUUCUCCAGUUUCCUCCUCCAUGUCGGUAUGUGGAUUGGCUCUAAUUUGCCCCUCUGUGUGUGUGUGUGUGUGUGUGUGUGUGUGUGUGUGUGUGUGUGUGUGUGUGUGUGUGUGUGUGUGUGUGUGUGUGUGUGUGUGUGUGUGUGUGUGUGGUGCCCUGUGAUGGACUGAUGU